GACGAACGCUGGCGGCGUGCUUAACACAUGCAAGUCGAACGGAAAGGCCCUGCUUUUGUGGGGUGCUCGAGUGGCGAACGGGUGAGUAACACGUGAGUAACCUGCCCUUGACUUUGGGAUAACUUCAGGAAACUGGGGCUAAUACCGGAUAGGAGCUCCUGCUGCAUGGUGGGGGUUGGAAAGUUUCGGCGGUUGGGGAUGGACUCGCGGCUUAUCAGCUUGUUGGUGGGGUAGUGGCUUACCAAGGAUUUGACGGGUAGCCGGCCUGAGAGGGUGACCGGCCACAAUGGGACUGAGAUACGGCCCAGACUCCUACGGGAGGCAGCAGUGGGGAAUAUUGCACAAUGGGCGGAAGCCUGAGGCAGCAACGCCGCGUGCGGGAUGACGGCCUUCGGGUUGUAAACCGCUUUCGCCUGUGACGAAGCGUGAGUGACGGUAAUGGGUAAAGAAGCACCGGCUAACUACGUG
rnacentral:rRNA from 1 species